GGAGUUUGGACCGUGUCUCAGUUCCAAUGUGGGGGACCUUCCUCUCAGAACCCCUACUGAUCGAUGGCUUGGUGGGCCGUUACCCCGCCAACAACCUAAUCAGACGCAUCCCCAUCCCUUAGCGACAAGUCUUUGGUUCAAAUCAGAUGUCCUCUUCGAACAACAUAGGGUAUUAAUCCGACUUUCGCCGGGCUAUGCCCUACUAAGGGGAAGGUUGGAUACGCGUUACUCACCCGUGCGCCGGUCGCCAUCGGAGAAAGCAAGCUUCCUCCAUGCUGCCCCUCGACUUGCAUGUGUUAAGCCUGUAGCUAGCGUUCAUC
rnacentral:rRNA from 1 species